rnacentral:lncRNA from 10 species
CGGAAAAGCAAAGAGGAGCAGCACACGCGUCUUUGUAUGAAUAAACAAAUCGUGGAUACAACAACAACGGAAUACUACUCGGGAAUGAACCAUUAAUACAUAGAACAACACAGAUGACCUCAAAAACACGCUGAGCAGAAGAAGCCAUACAAAAAGAAUACUUACUGUGAUUUUAUUAAUAUGCAAUUCUAAUAAAGAAAAACUAAUCUGUAGUGACAGAAAACAGGUACUUUCGACAAGAUACACUUUAACACCUAUUAGCUCAUUUGACAUAAAACUUUCUGAAGGAUAAGGAGUCUGAGCUCAGCCUUGAAGAAUGAAUAAACCAGGAAUAUGUUGAGGAAAAGGUCAUCCCAGAAAACGAUAAAGGGAGAAAACCUUUCACAUGAGGGUCCUGUAUGACCUGCUUCAGAGGAAAGUCAGAAAGUCUUCCCCACAUUCGCUGUUUCUCAAAUGCUUUCAGCUUAAAAUAUUCAAUAUGUCAAGGUGCCAUACAUGGGGUAGCAUGUCCUGAACACCAUCAGACAGAUGUGCCAGCCCUGAAGAGGGAACCCAGAAAGCAUGAAGAUGACAAUCAAGGCAAUCAAGGACAAGGACAAGAAAAAUAAAAGGUCUAAGUAAAAAAGAUAUGAAACAUGAAAGAGGUGACUCUUUGUUUGAUUCAAGGUAAGCCUGGUAGCCAAGACAACCAUGCUGACCUGCAGAUUGCAUGGUGAGAGUAAACUCUUUCCCUUCUUGUCCCUGCUCAGGGCACACAUUGAGAAACAGGGCUAGCCCUCUGACAGUGACCACAUAAGACUACCUUGGGGAGGGAGGAGCUACUGAACUCUCUUCACAGUUUAGAGGAGGAAGAUUCUUCCCUUAACAAAACAGUCUGGAUCUAGAGAGCCUAACCAUUCGCAAAAACAGUGGUAAAAUGUAUUCUAAGUUCUCUCCUCAACCACCAUACCCUCCGUCCCCAAUUCCUGCCAAAUAAAUGUCUCCACUUGGGAGCUGGAGACAUCUUCUGUAUAAGGAUUUAGAUACCCAUAUGUGGGAAACAGAAGCACCGUGGUUCUUGCUGCCCUGGCUCUUACAGAACUUUCCAACUGGUAAUGAACUGUUGCUCCC